AGGUGUGCCUUAAAUUGGUCUCUAGGAAAAAGAAAGAGUCAACACACUAUUAGAGACAUAUGGACAAAUGUACUGAAUCCCUGCAUUGAUGGGAAAUACUCCUUGGACUCCAGGCAGGAGGACUGUGACAUGCGGCACUCCCCCAGCAGAUUUAGAAGAAUCCAAUGUCGUUUUAUGGAACCAACAAUGGGAGGAUGGACCAUACAACCUCUCUGAACAAGGAAGUUCAGGAUGGAGAGGUCCAUGUCCAAUCCUUCAGACUUCUAAGACAGUUCUGAGGUAAGCUCGUCUUUCCAAUACCGAUUUUGGAAUAUCCUCUCCCGCCCACCUUUACAAUUCAUGGACUGGGGUGGGGUAUCCAUACCUAUCCUAUACACACCUGCAGGCUUUCGGUUGUACUUGAAGACUUCACAGAACACCAGCUUGUUGGGGUCCUUGCGGAAAGGGUCCCGAAA